UACAGAGGGGGCAAGCGUUAUUCGGAAUUAUUGGGCGUAAAGGGCGCGUGGGCGGCCUGGCAAGUGGAAGGUGAAAUCCCUCGGCUUAACCGAGGAACUGCCCUCCAAACUGCUUGGCUUGAGUCCGGGAGAGGUGAGUGGAAUUCCCAGUGUAGCGGUGAAAUGCGUAGAUAUUGGGAGGAACACCAGUGGCGAAGGCGGCUCACUGGACCGGAACUGACGCUGAGGUGCGAAAGCGUGGGGAGCAAACAGG
rnacentral:rRNA from 1 species